rnacentral:rRNA from 1 species
GAUCAUGGCUCAGAGUGAACGCUGGCGGCAGGCCUAACACAUGCAAGUCGAACGGCAGCACAGAGGAGCUUGCUCCUUGGGUGGCGAGUGGCGGACGGGUGAGGAAUACAUCGGAAUCUGCCUAUUUGUGGGGGAUAACGUAGGGAAACUUACGCUAAUACCGCAUACGACCUACGGGUGAAAGCGGAGGACCUUCGGGCUUCGCGCAGAUAGAUGAGCCGAUGUCGGAUUAG